GAUGAACGCUGGCGGCGUGCUUAACACAUGCAAGUCGAACGGAGAGGCCCAAGCUUGCUUGGGUACUCGAGUGGCGAACGGGUGAGUAACACGUGGGUGAUCUGCCCUGCACUUCGGGAUAAGCCUGGGAAACUGGGUCUAAUACCGGAUAGGACCACAUUUUGGAUGGUGUGGUGGAAAGUUUUUCGGUGUGGGAUGAGCUCGCGGCCUAUCAGCUUGUUGGUGGGGUAAUGGCCUACCAAGGCGUCGACGGGUAGCCGGCCUGAGAGGGUGUACGGCCACAUUGGGACUGAGAUACGGCCCAGACUCCUACGGGAGGCAGCAGUGGGGAAUAUUGCACAAUGGGCGCAAGCCUGAUGCAGCGACGCCGCGUGGGGGAUGACGGCCUUCGGGUUGUAAACUCCUUUCGCUAGGGACGAAGCGUUUUUGUGACGGUACCUGGAGAAGAAGCACCGGCUAACUACGUG
rnacentral:rRNA from 1 species